AAAGUGAGAAAAAAAGAAGAUUUAAAGGCACCCACAAAGAACUACAAGUCCCUAAAUAGUAAAAAUACUGCCUUUUAAACAAAGAAUUGAUGGUCACAACUUGAAAGGGUUAUUGUACAAGAGGCAUUGAAGCCCAGAGGAACAUGUUUCAAAAGAGCUAGAUAUAGUUCACACCCUGAACAUCUGAAAAACAUACACGAGUACGCGCUAGGCUAGGAAGCAGUAGGCGAGGAUGAGCUUUUAGAAUGGAUACCGAACCACAUGCACUUAUCUUUCACUGCCUCAGCUUCACUAGCAUAUUCUUUAAACCUGUACUCUUCUUGUUUGCUGGUUGGGGGUACUUUUCCUUCACUGUAACACUGACUACAUAAGCUAAAAUGUGACUUUAUCUCCUUAAAGCGAGACCCAAUGAUUGGGUAACGACAAGUUGCACAAACAUGGCUACCAUGGCGAUUCCUAUCCCCCGUUUCAAGCUUCAGCAAAGUGGACAUU
rnacentral:misc_RNA from 1 species